GCAGAAUUUAAGUCAUUGCAUGACUAGAUGCAUGACGCGUAGGACAUAAUAAUCUUCUUUUUUUCAAAGUAACGUCUGGGGACUCUGUAUUUUAUAAGAUAAGAAGAUUCAACAAUCUAAUUCUAAUAUAUCUAGAUAUCUGUCCAGUCGUCUAGAUCUAGAUCUACUUACGAUGUACCUUCAGGAUAACAUAAUUUCACGUACAAACCUCCUGCAAGAUGACGGGGAUGUCAUUGGGCAGACUGCCAGAGUAUGAACUCUGGACCAUUGAGAAUUCUGAUCGACAGUCCAGAAAAUGGAUAUUUAGUUUGACAACAAUUGACAACCUCAGCAUAACUACUGUAACAAUAACAUUAUAGAUGCAAAUACGAACAACAUUCACACACAAAACACAUACACACUCACAACCAGCACUUUAUGAAUUAGAUUUUUAUGAACUUCUCGAUGAUGAUAGAUGAUCUUGUAACACUCUGACCGACAGUGAGAUGAAGGAGUUUUAAAAUCUUUCUAUUUUAGUUCUAAUGGAAAGGAGACAACCACUUCAUUCAGAUCUUAUGUAACAGUGGUUUAAUGGGUGAAGGUUAUCUUUAAGAAUAGUGAGUAUUUUGGAAAGGCAUGUUUCAUGGAAAAGCUCUUCUUGAGAUGGUAGCAAACCGCUACAUUACAACCAGGCAGCUAUCCAAUGUUUAUGAUGAAAGUUAAUAUAAUUAAAAUUGAGGCUUCCAUAGAGUGGUUUCAAGAAAAAAAAAUAUAAAUGUUUUCUGGAACUUAAAAAAAAAAAAAAAGUUAAGAUAGGCUUACAGAUGAUCAUGGUUUAUAAGUGCGGAAACAAACAAUUUAAUUUAAGAAUCUAUAUUUAUGAACAAACUAAAACACAACAGAUAUGUAAGCAUAAAUAAAUAAAAAUGUUAGUUUAAAAACAUCAACAGUGUAACAAUUUCUUUUUAUUUUUUUUACAUUUGUAAAAUAAUAUAGAAAAUACAAUAGACUUACAUAUAAUAACCCACAUACUGGACCAAACACAGUGGGGUUUCCUACAUUUUGUGACUUUACCAUCACAAAAGAGAUACAAGACACUGAUGGCAAUCAAAUCAUUAAAUAGAAACAAUCUGAUAUAAACUUUUCACAUGUAAAUUAUGAGUGAGUCAGGUGUGAAUGUACUUUUGGUUUUUUAUAGUUAUACGACAAUAAAGAUUAUUAUUAUUAUUUAUAUUAUUAUACAUGUCUAUUGUAUUUUUUUAAACAGUAAUAGACUUACAAUAGACUUACAUAUAAUAACCCACAUACUGGACCAAACACAGUGGGGUUUCCUACAUUUUGUGACUUUACCAUCACAAAAGAGAUACAAGACACUGAUGGCAAUCAAAUCAUUAAAUAGAAACAA